AAAUUAGGUCCAUACAAAAAUUCCUGAAACUCAACAGCUCCAAGACCGAAGCCAUUAUAGUUGGCACCCCACACCAGGUUCGGUCAUCCACCAUCACCA